UUUUGGAUUCGAGCGUCACUGAUGAGUCUUUUGUAGACGAAAUGCGCGUCUGGCGUAUAUACAAAAUUUAGUCCUGGUAUCUAUGAUGAGUUUAUUUACAACCACUGGGUCGAUGCCACUGCUGGUGGAGAUUUAUUUCCCCGAGGGUAUUACCAGCCCAGUAGUCAGCACUUUUUGUUCUGACAUGAAUUAUCAUUGAUAUGGUUAUAUUUAUAAAUUAACUGUUUACAAAAUUUAGAAUUUUUGAAAAACUAAGGCUUUUCUACCUAAGGCAUAGAUUACCU
rnacentral:lncRNA from 1 species